AUGGCAGUACAUGAUUUUCAUUCAUGUUCAUUCGCUGCUUUGCUCCAAGUAAGCCUUUGUGUUUCAUUAGGCACCAUUUUCUUGCAUGCAAUGAAAGUGAUAUAUUUCUCCCUUCCCUCUUGGCCCACCACCAUUCUCUUCAUCCACCCUUACUCUAGCAUUGUUGGUGCUAGUCAUGGACUCAUAACUGUUGUUCCUAAUGGAUACACAUAUUCUUGCACUACUAUAUGCUUCUUGCCACAUCUUGGACGCAUAUAUCGCUCGCAUCAAAUUCUGACCGAAACACCAUGCAAUUAUAGUGCACAACUAUGA
rnacentral:rRNA from 1 species